UUCCAUUCUGGUGAUGGAGUUCGCCAUAAACUGCAAUUGUGCUGAUAACUCCUGCAAUUUU
rnacentral:ncRNA from 2 species